UACGAAGGGGGGCUAGCGUUGCUCGGAAUUAUUGGGCGUAAAGAGCGUGUAGGCGGCCAGACAGGUCCGUUGUGAAAACUCGAGCUCAACCUCGAGACGCCGAUGGAAACCGUUUGGCUAGAGUCCGGAAGAGGAGAGUGGAAUUCCUGGUGUAGCGGUGAAAUGCGCAGAUAUCAGGAAGAACACCCGUGGCUAAGGCGGCUCUCUAGUACGGUACUGACGCUGAGACGCGAAAGCGUGGGGAGCGAACAGG
rnacentral:rRNA from 1 species